AUUGAACGCUGGCGGCAGGCCUAACACAUGCAAGUCGAGCGGAUGAAGGGAGCUUGCUCCUGGUUUCAGCGGCGGACGGGUGAGUAAUGCCUAGGAAUCUGCCUGGUAGUGGGGGAUAACGUCCGGAAACGGGCGCUAAUACCGCAUACGUCCUGAGGGAGAAAGUGGGGGAUCUUCGGACCUCACGCUAUCAGAUGAGCCUAGGUCGGAUUAGCUAGUUGGUGGGGUAAAGGCCUACCAAGGCGACGAUCCGUAACUGGUCUGAGAGGAUGAUCAGUCACACUGGAACGGAGACACGGUCCAGACUCCUACGGGAGGCAGCAGUGGGGAAUAUUGGACAAUGGGCGAAAGCCUGAUCCAGCCAUGCCGAGUGUGUGAAGAAGGUCUUCGGAUUGGAAAGCACUUUAAGUUGGGAGGAAGGGCAGUAAGUUGAUACCUUGCUGUUUUGACGUUACCAACAGAAGAAGCACCGGCUAACUUCGUG
rnacentral:rRNA from 1 species